rnacentral:rRNA from 1 species
GGAGCUGAAGCCAGCCGCAGAUACCAGCUGGCUGCAACUGUUUAUUAAAAACACAGCACUGUGCAAACACGAAAGUGGACGUAUACGGUGUGACGCCUGCCCGGUGCCGGAAGGUUAAUUGAUGAGGUUAGCGCAAGCGAAGCUUCUGAUCGAAGCCCCGGUAAACGGCGGCCGUAACUAUAACGGUCCUAAGGUAGCGAAAUUCCUUGUCGGGUAAGUUCCGACCUGCACGAAUGGCGUAAUGAUGGCCAGGCUGUCUCCACCCGAGACUCAGUGAAAUUGAACUCGCUGUGAAGAUGCAGUGUACCCGCGGCAAGACGGAAAGACCCCGUGAACCUUUACUAUAGCUUGACACUGAACAUUGAGCCUUGAUGUGUAGGAUAGGUGGGAGGCAACGAAGUGUGGACGCCAGUCUGCACGGAGCCAUCCUUGAAAUACCACCCUUUAACGUUUGAUGUUCUAACCCAGACCCGUAAUCCGGGUCGGGGACCGUGUCUGGUGGGUAGUUUGACUGGGGCGGUCUCCUCCCAAAGAGUAACGGAGGAGCACGAAGGUUGGCUAAGCAUGGUCGGACAUCAUGCGGUUAGUGCAAAGGCAUAAGCCAGCUUGACUGCGAGAGUGACGGCUCGAGCAGGUACGAAAGUAGGUCUUAGUGAUCCGGUGGUUCUGAAUGGAAGGGCCAUCGCUCAACGGAUAAAAGGUACUCCGGGGAUAACAGGCUGAUACCGCCCAAGAGUUCAUAUCGACGGCGGUGUUUGGCACCUCGAUGUCGGCUCAUCACAUCCUGGGGCUGAAGUAGGUCCCAAGGGUAUGGCUGUUCGCCAUUUAAAGUGGUACGCGAGCUGGGUUUAGAACGUCGUGAGACAGUUCGGUCCCUAUCUGCCGUGGGCGCUGGAAGAUUGAGAGGGGUUGCUCCUAGUACGAGAGGACCGGAGUGAACGCACCACUGGUGUACGGGUUGUGAUGCCAAUUGCAUUGCCCGGUAGCUAAGUGCGGAAGAGAUAACCGCUGAAAGCAUCUAAGCGGGAAACUUGCCUCGAGAUGAGUCUUCCCUGACCCUUUAAGGGUCCUGAAGGAACGUUUGAGACUAAGACGUUGAUAGGCUGGGUGUGUAAGUGCAGCGAUGUAUUGAGCUAACCAGUACUAAUGAACCGAGAGGCUUAACCUG